AUUCAGCUGACGAGUCCCAAAUAAAAUGAAUUGGCGCGCGUCAAACUGAAU
rnacentral:hammerhead_ribozyme from 1 species